rnacentral:lncRNA from 1 species
AAAAAGCAACUGCAGCAUUUUGAGGGACUGACUUGCCGGCUCGAAGUCUUCAGAGCUCCUCGAACAGCGUGUUCGCUGCGUGUGCGUGUGUGUGUCUCCGCACCAGCAAGCGAUUAAUGAAAAUUGGGCAUUGUGAAAAUGGAACUUGACAUACAACCGUAUGUACACUAAUUCACUCAAGACUGCCUGAACCCU